UAACCCGGCGAAAGUCGGACUAAUACCGUAUGAUAUCCUAUGCAGGCAUCUAACUAAGGAUUAAAGGUUUAGCGGUAAGGGGAUGGGGGAUGCGUCUGAUUAGGCAGUUGCGGGGUAACGGCCCACCAAACCGACGAUCAGUAGGGGUUCUGAGAGGAAGGUCCCCCACAUUGGAACUGAGACACGGUCCAAACUCCUACGGGAGGCAGCAGGA
rnacentral:rRNA from 1 species